GAUAAACGCUGGCGGUGUGCUUUAUGCAUGCAAGUCGAACGAGUCAUUUCGGUGAUUAGUGGCGAACGGGUGAGUAACACGUAAGUAACCUGUCCUCAAGUGGGGAAUAACUCUGAGAAAUCGGAGUUAAUACCGCAUGUGGUGAUGGAGGUAAGGCUUCAUUACUAAAGCCGCAAGGCGCUUGAGGAGGGGCUUGCGCCCGAUUAGCUAGUUGGUGAGGUAACGGCACACCAAGGCUAAGAUCGGUAGCUGGUUUGAGAGGACGACCAGCCACACUGGGACUGAGACACGGCCCAGACUCCUACGGGUGGCAG
rnacentral:rRNA from 1 species